GACGUAGGGCGCGAGCGUUGUCCGGAUUUAUUGGGCGCAAAGAGCUCGUAGGCGGCUUGUCGCGUCGAAUGUGAAAACUCGGGGCUCAACUCCGAGCUUGCAUUCGAUACGGGCAGGCUAGAGUUCGGUAGGGGAGACUGGAAUUCCUGGUGUAGCGGUGAAAUGCGCAGAUAUCAGGAGGAACACCGAUGGCGAAGGCAGGUCUCUGGGCCGAUACUGACGCUGAGGAGCGAAAGCGUGGGGAGCGAACAGG
rnacentral:rRNA from 1 species